UUUCAAAUUCCUUAUGGAUCCCAAUGCCAUGCUUGCAAUGCAAGCCGUGAAAGUUUCUGAAAUCCAGCAAUACCAGGGCCCUUUCAGCAAGGGCCUGGGGUAGUAGAAAAAAUUCCUGGUUAAAAGUACAUGGGAUUUGACUUGUUUGCCUGAGAAAGUCUUUGUAGGACUAUGUCCCAUGCACACAGGAAUAAGGAUGUUUGUCAUUUUAUAUCACUGCAACACUGUGCCAGCGCUGAAUCACAUUCUCCUGCAAAGCCUACGUGGCCCUUGGCCCUCAGUGGGAAGCCGAGAUAACCAAAGUGCUGCAGUCAGAAGAGUUACCAGGAAAACAUACUUUAUGGCUGUAAGUUGUACUCAAAAAAGGUAGAUAAACACCACAUCAAAUGAACUGUGGUUUACUGACUCACGGUCUCCUCACCAAACUCUCCUGAUUAAAAAAUGGCAAUUUAAGUUCUGCAGAGAGCUAUCAGCACGUUCAGGCUGCAAACACGAGAGUUCACAAGAGCAGAAACGCUCUUUGCCCCACAGCACUUUGCUGUGGUUUAAAGGCACUUUCUGAAAGCCACUAGAAAUCACCCAUGAAUAUCCUACGGUCUGGGAGACAGAGAGACCUUGGGAUGGGCUGCUUUCUCCUCCCCAGCUUCUGAACACAGUUGUCACUGUUAGAGACAAAGAGAUUUCUGCCAGCUAGCGAAAAGAUGCUAUGAAAAUACGCUCCCAGAAAGCCUCUUUGAGCUCUGCUGAGAUGAUAUUAACAGCAGUACUUCAGAAAGCCAAGAAUGGUAUGUUGAAGUGUGAGAAGGUACAUGUUUAUUUUCUGAAGCAUGUCUACAAAAAGUAUCAUGGAUAUAAAGAGGACGAACCAGUGGUGCUGAUGUCACAAGAAGCUGAAGCCAACAAUUAUGAUGUAAGAGUAACAUUAAAUUAACCAUUUUUAUAGCGCUGCAUUUUCUGCUUCUUAACCUCACAAAACAAAACAAAACAAAAACCCAACAGUUACCCUGCUGCUCUUGCAGGGUAGACAGAAAAUGAGAUUUAACUGCACUCUCACACACCGAGCUGUUUCAACAGCUUUUCCCAGACUGUCACCCACAUGAGUGGCAAUCAGUGGGCCAAGCUGAGUAGCCAGCACUUCAGUCUCUGUGUGGGAGCACACUGAGCUGUGCUUCCAAUAAGCUUUGCAAUGAGAGAUUUGGUACUGUGUGAGCAGUGAGCCACAAAGACACUGUAAAAUCUGGCAGGAAUAUUCUGAUGCAAAAAAGACUGUGAUCCAGAACACAGGUUUCACUCUUCACUUGUUUUAGCUUUAGGGUUUUAAGUUGGAUCAACAGAUGCAACAACAGUAAAAACAUCUAAAUGUCCACCUUCAGCGCUAGGCGUGAAAUUAUUGCUUCUUAACAGCUCUGAAAUGUUUUACCCAUUGGAAAAGAGCUGUAUUGAUACUGUAAAUAAAAAGGAGUUCUGCCCUCAAUAAAAUGUGACAUUGCACAAUCAGAGCUGCGAGACACGCUGGCUGGAACUGUGAUUAUCAAAAGGAAAGGACCAGGACUGAUGAAUAGGAUGCUAAUGUGUACUGUGGCUGAGAUGUUUAUUUGGCUUUGUAGCAUCAGGCUGCUGAGGCUUUCCAGAUGGGGAACUAAGAGGGAAGUUACUGCAAGGUAAGCAUCUUAAGAUCUUUCCUUGUGCUCCAGGAUGUAACAGUUUGAAUCCUGGGGACUCAUGGAUGCUUCCAGAUGUAUUGUGGCCCAAGAAAGUGAAAUCAAGAAGUGAAAGCAAGAAGACUGCAGCUACAAAUUUCCACUGCCCUUCAGAAAUCCUCCCACCUACAACUCUCAAGCAAUCCUUUCUGCAAUGUCUGCAGAGCUAACAGUUGACAUGAGCUCCACAAACCAACAAGAACGUACAGUGUACUGGAUGGAAUAGCAGGUCCUGCAAGUAGUGGGAAACAUGACCAGGAGAUUCCACAUCUUAAAUCCAAAAGCUGUGACCCUGCCUCACACUUACACCCGUGCUAAUGUUAAGACAGAAGAGUAGUCCCCCUGGUAACUACAGUCUAAGUGUGUAAAUGCACAGGUGUGAAUACUUGUGUCACUUUGCUGCUGAAGGCAAAAGUAUUAGCAAAACACAGCUUUGAACUGACAAAGACGUGCUGUCUGUCCUGUGAAAACAACAUCCACACACCUGAAACUGCAGCCUCUACUGUGGGACGUACAAUGGCUUGCUUGCUGCUGGAUCUGUGCUUUAAAUGUACUGAAUCAAGUUAUUCUUUGGGAUAAGUCUUUCACAGCCUGUGGUAGCAGUGCUAGUGCAAUUUGUUUGGCCUGAUACAACUUUUUGCUAUGUUGCAGAAGAUGUGAGACAGGAAGAAGGAAAUGGGAUACUGCACAUGCAUAACAUGCAGUCUCUUAAAGACAACUAAUAAAAGGCAGAGUAUUAAUGUCCUGUGUGGACAGCAUUAUCUCCACAAUUCUCUUCCUGCUAUUUAUGUAUAAUGUGUGCAUGUAUCUAUUUCUAUUUCCAGCAUCUACAGCUAAUUUCUCUUGCAAUAAAAAGCCUGCUCUGCUGCACUAGCAACCGGCGUGAGGUUGUUAAACUUGUCAGCAGUUUUCCAUUGCCUUACUACGUGUGACAAGUGAGAAGCUGAAGACAGGAGCCUGCUGCCCUUUAGAGUUCCCUGAGCAGAAGGGCAAACACUAAUCAGGACAGGUACAAUUCUCACAAAGAAGCGAUCCAAGAAUCCUUGCAGCUCUCAGACGCUUGAUCCUGGUGGCUGCCACUUGGAAUUCUCUGCUCUGGAGCCUGCAAAACACAUUGUACACAACAGAGGCCUUUCAGCGUUCACCGAGGAGUGAAAAAACAUCUCAGGGGCAGCUGUGGUGACGUGGUUGAACGAGCUGGGCUGCCAGGGCAGCCAAAUUCUUUUCAGUCACACCAGCCAGAACAAACAGCACUUGAUGUCAGCAGAGGGGCAGGCGUGGGGCGAGUAGGGUGUGAACUUCCACCGACGCACUUCCGUGGCCGUCAGCCCACGGUGACACGUCCACCUGCCUCUUUGCUCCUUAAUACCAGUGUAAUUACUGCCAUUAAUUAACCGGAGCCUCGAGCGGCCCUGCACUGUGACACCUUCUGAAUGUUAGACCUAUGUUCGCGUUUGAUCAUGACGCGUAUCAGGACGCGACGCGCCCUGUAUUUUGUAGGAUAUCCCGAGUUCAGCAGCAGCUGAAUGUUAAAGGCGAUUUGUGAGAGCAGUGUCCGAACAGAGGCCGGCAGCUCGAGGCCGUGCCCGCUGCCCAGGGGGGGCCCGUUCCAGCACCACGCGGGGCGAAGAACCUUUUUUUAAUCGCCAAUCCGACUCUCCUCGGCGCGGCUUUGGCGACCUGCUGCGGAAUUAGCGUCC